GAGUGAUCAGAUGGAGCAGGAUAUUUCUUUCCCUGAUCCUUCUAGCUUUAGCAGGGAGAGACUAAGGGAGUGAGCUCCAAACCCUAUCCCUUUUGUAUCUUCUGCAAUCUCUCUUCUCCGCAUUCCUUUUCGUCCACCGCCGGAGACCACAGACAAGCUAGAGAUUCCUCUUCCUCCUCGGUUCAUGCAAGAGUUGCGGUGAGGGUGUGUGACGGACCUUUUUUUUUCCCCCAUGGUUGCACUGCUAGUUGCUGCUGCUUGCUCUUUCCGCCGCUGAUUGAAGUGCUUGAGAACGUUACAGGUAAGAUGAGGAUGAGAAGACUAUGGGAAGGUGAAAAUUGAUGCUGACUGUGAAGAUGAGGAUGUUGCAGCUGCAGUGAAGUCAACCUUGUGCUUGUCUUUCUCCAAUCAUUUUUAAUUUCACUUGUGCUUUCAUAUGCAUAAGUUGAGUCAGAUCAUAUUAAUUAUAUUUAAUGUCUCAAAAUAUGGUGGCCUAACCUUAUGCUUAAAUCUGCGCUUGUUGCUACAACCAAUAACUGUCUUUCUAGAUUAUGUUUAAAUAGUACUUUCAUAGUAAUUCAAGUGAGCUUUUAUUUUAGAUUACAAUCAUUCAUGUCCUUCACACGAGCUUGUGGCAACGGAUCUGCAUGGCUUGGAGUGGAGGUUCAAGCAUAUAUAUAUGGGUAUGCCGCUUGUGCCUGUUUUAUUUUUUUCAUUCUUAAUAUGCAUUAGGAUUUAAUUUCUAGAGUUGAUCGAAAUACUAUAUCCUGUUUUUGUUUCUAUUUUGGAAUACAAAUGUAAUUGCAGUGCAAAUGUAGAGUUGUUCCUAAGUUUAGGCACUUUUCGGGGACUGUUUUUUCUUUUCUUUUUUUUGUGGAGUUUGCAGAUGUCUCUAAGAAAAAUCGAGCUUGCAACUCAGGAAGCUGAUCAAAAAAGGAGAGAGAAGCUAGUAUCUCAGUUUUUUGAAGUUAGUAAAUUUUAUGUUAAUUAGUUGGAGUCUAAAUAUAAUUUAUGUAUUUUUAGUACUUAAUUACCAGAGGUAUGGAUAUACCUAGUUUUGGCUGAGGUUUUUUAGUUAUUCAUUUACUUACCUUAUAUGCAUUUAAAAUCUUUUUUGUUGUGCACUUUAUUUCUCAAGAGUGUUAUCAUGCGCUCUUCUUUUUCUAGAGGUACUUCGGGAUGGUCAGAUAGAUUUGUCUUAGCUUGGAAUUGAUCCAAGGACAUUUAAGUGACCUGCACGUUAAAUUUUAAAAAUGUUAUUUAGUCUUUGAUGAUUUUGGACAGUGUUAAUACUUAACAGAGUGCCAAAUAGAAAUGAAAUAAUGAAAUCACUGUUAGAAGUGAGUUAUUUUAUGAGUGGAUCAGCAAACAUUAGUGUUUGCUGAAUUUUGUGUUUUCUUAACCACUUAUGGCACAUAGUAAGAUUGAAUCAGCAAAUUAGUUUGUGUUUUUUGUGUUGGGGGCUGAAUUUUCAGAAUGGAAAAGAGUUGUUCUCAUUUGUAGAGUAAUAUUUACUUUUCUUUCUCUUUGCAGUGACUUCUGAAGUAAUGGCAAGGUUACUUUAUAAAAGUGCUCUUUGGUUCACUAUUUUGUAUUUUGCACAUGUGUGACACCAGGACAAACGGUGGAUGGAAAUUAACUUCACAUCUUUUAGGUGCCAUAUUAGUCUUCUUUGUUUUUUUUUUUAAAAAACUUUACAUAAACUACUUAAAUAAAAGGCAUGAAUGUUAUGAUUUACACGUGGCAUGAAUGCAGCAUAUGUUCUUAUUGCUUGUCUCAUCUACUGAACUCAUUAUAGAUUUUCAUCUUGAAAGAUCUUUGAGGACAAUCAAAAUUGAACUUUUUGUGCAGAUGCAAGUAAUCUGUGCUGUUUCUAUGUCAAUUUUAUCUUCACGGUUAGAACAAGUUCCAAAAUUCUGUUACCUAAGUGUAAAAAUAGAUUUCACCAUGGCGCAUGUGCAUUUAGUAAUCUCUAAUUUUUUUCCUGCCCCUUCGUUGGUUUUUAUAUUCUUAGUGUGACUGUUGAGUUGCAAUGACAAUGUUCAAAGGUUUUGUACAUAUAUGUUUCAAGGGAGUUGUUUUUUAUAUUCUUAGAGUGACUGUUGAGUUGCAAUGAUAAUAUUCAAAGGUUUUGUACUUAUAUGUUUCAAGGGAGUUGACUACUUGAAGUAUGAUAAUUGUGAGGAUGCACAUGGUCUUAGUCCAAAGGAAAGGUAUCAAUGUGAAGCAUUUAAGUGAACAUAAGAAGCAGUUUAUGGAAGAGGAAAUUGAUAAUUACAUUCAUUCUAAUAAAACAUGGAAGGUCCACCUUAUUCUCUAUUUAUGAAUGGUGAGUAUUCCACAUACUCCUUGCCUUAAGGUUUUAUAUUUAAUAUAUAUUGAUGCAAAGUUGGUUUAGUGUUUAUUUUUCAUGUUUAUGUUACAGGAGAUUUGCGUCAAGUAUAUAGUGAUGAUUGCAUUUUGUGAGUUUUGUACCUACCAUUGCAGUUCUUGCUUUUUAAAAAAAAAAUUAGGAAUAAGUGUGUGCUUGGAGCUUUUCAUGCAGAUAGUUUUUUUUUUUUUUUACCUUGUUAGGUUUAGUCUGAAGAAUUUGCAGAACAAUGAUAUCUUUUAUUCUGGCAGGAGAAGACCAUGUAACAUCUUUUAUGAAAUUAUAUGUUUUUUAUUUUAUUUAACGCAAAUCAUUUGUUCUA